rnacentral:rRNA from 1 species
UGGGGAAUAUUGGACAAUGGGGGCAACCCUGAUCCAGCAAUGCCGCGUGUGUGAAGAAGGUCUUCGGAUUGUAAAGCACUUUCGACGGGGACGAUGAUGACGGUACCCGUAGAAGAAGCCCCGGCUAACUUCGUGCCAGCAGCCGCGGUAAUACGAAGGGGGCUAGCGUUGCUCGGAAUGACUGGGCGUAAAGGGCGUGUAGGCGGUUUACACAGUCAGAUGUGAAAUCCCCGGGCUUAACCUGGGAGCUGCAUUUGAUACGUGUAGACUAGAGUGUGAGAGAGGGUUGUGGAAUUCCCAGUGUAGAGGUGAAAUUCGUAGAUAUUGGGAAGAACACCGGUGGCGAAGGCGGCAACCUGGCUCAUGACUGACGCUGAGGCGCGAAAAGCGUGGGGAGCAAACAGGAUUAGAUACCCUGGUAGUCCACGCUGUAAAACGAUGUGU